CGAGAUGAGGAUGGUCAUUGUCAUUUUCUGAGCUGCGAACGGGCAGAAAGCUAACCAACGAGAUGAGGAUGGUCAUUGUCAUUUUCUAAGCUGCGAACGGGCAGAAAGCUACACAACGAGAUGAGGAUGGUCAUUGUCAUUUUCUGAGCUGCGAACGGGCAG